rnacentral:rRNA from 1 species
UCUAAGCCAUGCGAGUCAUUGUAGCAAUACAAGGCAGACGGCUCAGUAACGCGUAGUCAAUCUACCCUAUGGACGGGAAUAACCUCGGGAAACUGAGAAUAAUGCCCGAUAGAACAUUAUGCCUGGAAUGGUUUAUGUUUCAAAUGAUUUAUCGCCAUAGGAUGGGACUGCGGCCUAUCAGUUUGUUGGUGAGGUAAUGGCCCACCAAGACUAUUACAGGUACGGGCUCUGAGAGGAGUAGCCCGGAGAUGGGUACUGAGACACGGACCCAGGCCCUAUGGGGCGCAGCAGGCGAGAAAACUUUGCAAUGUGCGAAAGCACGACAAGGUUAAUCCGAGUGGUUUCUGCUAAAGAAACCUUUUGUCAGUCCUAGAAACACUAACGAAUAAGGGGUGGGCAAGUUCUGGUGUCAGCCGCCGCGGUAAAACCAGCACCUCAAGUGGUCAGGAUGAUUAUUGGGCCUAAAGCAUCCGUAGCUCGUUUUGUAAGUUUUCGGUUAAAUCCAUGCGCUUAACGUAUGGGCUGCCGGGAAUACUGCAUAACUAGGAAGUGGGAGAGGUAGACGGUACUCGGUAGGAAGGGGUAAAAUCCUUUGAUCUAUUGAUGACCACCUGUGGCGAAGGCGGUCUACCAGAACACGUUCGACGGUGAGGGAUGAAAGCUGGGGGAGCAAACCGGAUUAGAUACCCGGGUAGUCCCAGCUGUAAACUAUGCAAACUCAGUGAUGCAUUGGCUUGUGGCCAAUGCAGUGCUGCAGGGAAGCCGUUAAGUUUGCCGCCUGGGAAGUACGUACGCAAGUAUGAAACUUAAAGGAAUUGGCGGGGGAGCACCACAAGGGGUGAAGCCUGCGGUUCAAUUGGAGUCAACGCCAGAAAUCUUACCCGGAGAGACAGCAGAAUGAAGGUCAAGCUGAAGACUUUACCAGACAAGCUGAGAGGUGGUGCAUGGCC